GACGAACGCUGGCGGCGUGCUUAACACAUGCAAGUCGAACGUGAUUUUUGUGGAAAUUCUUUCGGGAAUGGAAAUGAAAUGAAAGUGGCGAACGGGUGAGUAACACGUGAGCAACCUACCUUACACAGGGGGAUAGCCGUUGGAAACGACGAUUAAUACCGCAUGAGACCACAGAAUCGCAUGAUAUAGGGGUCAAAGAUUUAUCGGUGUAAGAAGGGCUCGCGUCUGAUUAGCUAGUUGGAAGGGUAAAGGCCUACCAAGGCGACGAUCAGUAGCCGGUCUGAGAGGAUGAACGGCCACAUUGGAACUGAGACACGGUCCAAACUCCUACGGGAGGCAGCAGUGGGGAAUAUUGCACAAUGGGGGGAACCCUGAUGCAGCGACGCCGCGUGAGCGAAGAAGGUUUUCGAAUCGUAAAGCUCUGUCCUAUGAGAAGAUAAUGACGGUAGCAUAGGAGGAAGCCCCGGCUAAAUACGUG
rnacentral:rRNA from 1 species